CAGGGCGUAUCAAGUACGUGGUCGUAGACCCGAAACCAGGUGAUCUACCCAUGUCCAGGGUGAAGUCCAGGUAACACUGGAUGGAGGCCCGAACCCACGCAAGUUGAAAAUUGCGGGGAUGAGGUGUGGGUAGGGGUGAAAUGCCAAUCGAACUUGGAGAUAGCUGGUUCUCCCCGAAAUAGCUUUAGGGCUAGCCUCGAGGUGAGAGUGUUGGAGGUAGAGCACUGAUUGGACUAGGGGUCCCUACAGGAUUACCGAAUUCAGUCAAACUCCGAAUGCCAAUUACUUUUUACUCGGGAGUCAGACUGCGAGUGCUAAGAUCCGUAGUCGAGAGGGAAACAGCCCAGACCAUCAGCUAAGGUCCCAAAGUAUACGUUAAGUGGAAAAGGAUGUGGAGUUGCUUAGACAACCAGGAUGUUGGCUUAGAAGCAGCCAUCAUUGAAAGAGUGCGUAAUAGCUCACUGGUCGAGUGACUCUGCGCCGAAAAUGUACCGGGGCUAAACGUAUCACCGAAGCUAUGGAUUGUCCUUCGGACAGUGGUAGGGGAGCGUUCCAAGUGCCGUGAAGUCAGACCGAGAGGACUGGUGGAGCGCUUGGAAGUGAGAAUGCCGGUAUGAGUAGCGAAAAGAGGGGUGAGAAUCCCCUCCGUCGAAAGCCUAAGGUUUCCUGAGGAAGGCUCGUCCGCUCAGGGUAAGUCGGGACCUAAGCCGAGGCCGAAAGGCGUAGGCGAUGGCAAACAGGUUGAAAUUCCUGUACCACCUCCUCACCGUUUGAGCAACGGGGGGACGCAGGAAGGUAGGGUAAGCGCGCCACUGGAUGUGCGCGUCCAAGCAGUAAGGCUGGCAAGUAGGCAAAUCCGCUUGUCGUAAGGCUGAGCUGUGAUGGCGAGGGAAAUUAUAGUACCGAAGUUCCUGAUCCUACACUGCCUAGAAAAGCCUCUAGUGAGGUGAGAGGUGCCCGUACCGCAAACCGACACAGGUAGGCGGGAAGAGAAUUCUAAGACGCGCGGGAGAACUCUCGUUAAGGAACUCGGCAAAAUGACCCCGUAACUUCGGGAGAAGGGGUGCUCUUUCGGGUUUAUAGCCCAGGAGAGCCGCAGUGAAAAGGCCCAAGCGACUGUUUAUCAAAAACACAGGUCUCUGCCAAGCCGCAAGGCGAUGUAUAGGGGCUGACACCUGCCCGGUGCUGGAAGGUUAAGAGGAGGGGUUAUCCCUUAGGGGAGAAGCUCUGAAUUGAAGCCCCAGUAAACGGCGGCCGUAACUAUAACGGUCCUAAGGUAGCGAAAUUCCUUGUCGGGUAAGUUCCGACCCGCACGAAAGGUGCAACGACUUGGGCACUGUCUCAACGAGAGACCCGGUGAAAUUAUAUUACCUGUGAAGAUGCAGGUUACCCGCGACAGGACGGAAAGACCCCAUGGAGCUUUACUGUAGCUUGAUAUUGGAUUUUGGUACAGCUUGUACAGGAUAGGUAGGAGCCUUGGAAACCGGAGCGCCAGCUUCGGUGGAGGCAUCGGUGGGAUACUACCCUGGCUGUACUGACAUUCUAACCCAGGACCGUGAUCCGGUUCGGGGACAGUGUCAGGUGGGCAGUUUGACUGGGGCGGUCGCCUCCUAAAAAGUAACGGAGGCGCCCAAAGGUUCCCUCAGAAUGGUUGGAAAUCAUUCGCAGAGUGCAAAGGCAUAAGGGAGCUUGACUGCGAGACAUACAGGUCGAGCAGGGACGAAAGUCGGGCUUAGUGAUCCGGCGGCACCGCAUGGAAGGGCCGUCGCUCAACGGAUAAAAGCUACCCUGGGGAUAACAGGCUUAUCUCCCCCAAGAGUCCACAUCGACGGGGAGGUUUGGCACCUCGAUGUCGGCUCAUCGCAUCCUGGGGCUGAAGUAGGUCCCAAGGGUUGGGCUGUUCGCCCAUUAAAGCGGUACGCGAGCUGGGUUCAGAACGUCGUGAGACAGUUCGGUCCCUAUCCGUCGUGGGCGUAGGAAAUUUGAGAGGAGCUGUCCUUAGUACGAGAGGACCGGGAUGGACACACCGCUGGUGUACCAGUUGUUCCGCCAGGAGCAUAGCUGGGUAGCUACGUGUGGAAGGGAUAAGUGCUGAAAGCAUCUAAGCAUGAAGCCCCCCUCAAGAUGAGAUUUCCCAUUACGUUAAGUAAGUAAGAUCCCUCAGAGACGAUGAGGUUGAUAGGUCUCGUGU
rnacentral:rRNA from 1 species